CGAAAUUAUGAAAUUCGAAUGAUUGAUAAGAAUUCACAUAUACUUUCUUAAAUAUUUACAGAUAAUUACAAUUAAUUAUAAUAGAUAUUAUUAAUACAACUGCAAUGCUAGAAUUUGUCAAAGCAUUGUACGCGAGCCAUCAUAGAAAUUUUCUGUGCUUUUUGUACUAUGUCUGGACAACGACGGCGACGUACAAGUCUACAAUCUUGGAAAAAUCCUUCGUUUCUUGGAAAACCAUGUGAACCAUCGGAAUAAGUCACCAAACCUGUAUUAUAAUGCUAUAUAGUAAAUAUUACAUUUAAUGUAGAGAAUAAAUAUUUCGUUGUAAAGAUUA